GGGUAUUGAAUUUCUUUCCAAAGAAACUGACUCUUAAUCAGCGGGUCCCAGGUUCGAGCCCUGGUGCGCCCACCA
rnacentral:tRNA from 1 species